AUGGCUUUGAUUUCAUAUUUCUUCAAUUGUUUUGGUCUCUCCUCGACUUCAUCAUCUCAAGUUUCUAAUAAUGAUGAAAAAUCAUCUCAAACAAAAACUUCACCUGCAGAAAAACCAAAGAGAAUGGAAAAAUCAAAAGGAGCUCCAAUUGUAGUUUCUUAUUUUCCUGUUAACUAUAAUCUUUCACGAUUGUAG
rnacentral:lncRNA from 1 species